AUGUCAUCUUUUGUUUGGCCAUAAAAUCCUUUUCUCCCACCAAAUCCAAGGUGAUAUUUGUUUGCAAAGAUUGAGUUAUACAAACUUAGCUUUUAAAAAUUUCUAAAACUCAGUGGGCUAGUUUUGGAUAUGUAAUAAUUGUAAGAAAAAGGCUCAUCAAAUUAUACCCUGUAUAUAAAUGGGGUAACCUCUAGAGGUCAGAUUUAACCCAUUUUUAAGCUAUGACGUUACUAAAAAUUUUCGUUCUACCCAUAGAAUUUAUUGAGGAACGUUUCUUAGUAAUCAAAAUGUUAUUUGUAUCUAUCGUUAAUUUAGUGUAUGUAAAUAAUUCGAGCCUCAGAAAGUUUACUGAGGGACAAUCCGAAAAAUACAAAUGAAGAUCCUCCACCUACCAUCAAUAUUUUUUAUUAUUGAUAUACUGUUAGUGAGACGUCCAUGAUAUGUUAAAGUUGAUGGAAGUUAAAAUUUAAAUAUAUCGAUUUUGUCUCUCCAUAAAUAUAAAUAUCCUGAAAUUAUAUUUCUCAAAAUAUCGAGAGACAUUGGUGGUAUGUUAACAUUGGUAGGUGCGAGAGGCUAGCGUUGGAUGGUUUUAGGCGGGGUAGGGGUAGGUCGAAGAAGUACUGGGGUGAGGUGAUUAGGCGGGACAUGGAGCAGUUACAGCUCACCGAGGACAUGACCCUAGAUAGGAAGGUCUGGAGGACGCGGAUUAGGGCAGAGGACUAGGGCCAGUUUGGGUCGAUGGUGUAGGGAAUUACUUGGUGGGGGUUUUAUGCCUGUUAUGAUUCUGUGUUCCGUGUUUUAUUACGAAUCUGUGUGCUUUCCUCUGUUUUAUAUUACUUAUGGGUGCUGUAUUUAUGUUAUGUAAUCUGUUUCUGUGCUUUACUAUGUGUUUGUGUGGGAUCUCGUGCCUUGAGUCGGGGGUCUAUCGGAAACAGCCUUUCUACUUCUUUAGAGGUAGAGGUAUGGACAGCGUACAUCUUACCCCCAGACCCCACUAGGUGGGAAUACACUAGGUUUGUUGUUGUUGUUGUAUUUAUUGUAGUGACCGAAUAAUCCGUCGGAACAAUUAUUUUUUUUAAUUUUUGAUUUAAUUAAAAUAUAUAAAGGGUAAAAAAAGGGUCGGCAUCCAGGUUUUCAUUCAUUUUCAGGGCUCUCUCUCUCCUGCUUCCUCUCUCUACAACAAAAAUGCAUGAAUUGAAGGUCUUUUGAAGGCAUUUCCGCACGAACUGAAGGUCAAGCUUACACUCUCUGUACGAAUUGAAGCAUUAAAGCUGAGGCACUUGCUAGUCAUUUAUACAAUUUUUGCCAUUGCCACCAUUGGUGACAACAGGGGAAAUGUAGGUGCUACACGUAUUGUUUGUGGUGUAGAGGAAACUAUUAACAAUGAAUUAGCAGCUAAGAAGGAAAUAAACAAUGCCAACAACAAGCUUAAUCCACUGGAAACUCGCGCAAUGGUGUGGGAUGAGGCUGAACGUGCUAAGUAGAUGGAAAGGUGUAAGCGCGAAGAGGUGAAGAUACAAGCUUGGGAAAAUCAUGAAAAGAGGAAAACUGAAAUGGAAAUAAAAAGAAUGAAGUAUAUACAAUAUCGGUGGAUUUGCAAGUGAAAGGGGAGAGAAUAAAAGCAAGGGCAGAGAAGUACAGAAACAAAUUUGCAGCAGCAAGGAGGAAAGCAGAAGAGAAAAGAGGCAAUGUUGAAGCACAACUGAAUGAAAAGACUAUAAAGACUUGUGAGAAAGCAUAUUACAUUAGGAUGACUGGAAAAGUAUGAAGAAAUUGUACGGGAAAAAAGAAAUUAUACGGGAAAAAGACAGUCUGAAUCUAAAAUUGAUCAAUUGAAAUCAUAUUAUGAAGCUGCAGGAGGAGUAAAGAAGAAAAGAUUAUUUGGUAUCAGAUUUGAAGCUAAAAGUUACUUUGGGAAAAAUCUUUGUGUCUGUAAUGCCUUCACAUCAUCAGUACCACCUUCGGUUUCUUUGACGACAACAUGUUUGGUGGAGUUUGUGAAGCAAUUUAUUCCGACACUUACUACUCACUUUCUUCCGGUAGUUAUUGAGCAUAUUGGUGGUAUUAGGGUACAAGAAGGGGCCACACUUGAUCCUCCUACUAAUGAUGAUGACGUUGAUUCGUAGCUUCAUAGUAUUCGUAGCCCUUCAUCGUUGCAUUAAUUUUUGACAAACUAUGUUGUGUGGAAAUACAAAAUAGUUAUGUAGUAACAAAUACUAAUUUUGAUGGAUGUGAGUUUGACAUUAGUUUAUUUUUGACAAAAUAUUUGAACUUGUGGAUGUUUGAACACAAUUAUUGGAUAUUUUCCUAUCCUGUAUGAAUGUUGGUUAUUUUAAUCA